UUUUAACCAAUGAAUGGGUGAUAGGUACUCAGACAUUGGUUUUUGACAGUUACUUUUUACUUCACCCUUUUGUUUGGUGAAAAUGAGUUUGAUCAUGGAAUCAUGAAUUUGACUAUAGAUAUACUUUAAUGAAUCAUUAAGCUUUUUCACUUUGCAAGUUCCUUGUCGUACCAAUCAUAGUCAUAGAUAAGCGAGUGUUGGUGGCAUGGAGAAUAUACAGAAGAAGCAUUUAGAGUAUGUGUUGAUGCCAUUGGGUCUAUUGGUGUUCCUGAUAUACCAUGUUUGGCUUGUUUACACCAUUCGUUGCAAUCCUCUUCGAACUGUCAUUGGCUUAAACGCAGAGUCUCGUCAUCAGUGGGUUCUUUCCAUGAUGACUGAUCCCUUGAAGAAUGGUGUUUUGGCAGUUCAAACAAUUCGCAACAGCAUCAUGGCAUCUACUCUUCUAGCAACAACAGCAAUCACACUAAGUUCCCUUAUUGGUAUUUUUGCUAGCAAUACAUGGGGUACUGAUGACACGGCUUUCAUGCCUUACAAUGAUUAUCCAAUGAAACGUAUUUCAAUCACCAUUUGCUUCCUUGUUGCGUUUUUAUGCAAUGUGCAGUCUAUAAGAUACUAUGCCCAUGUCAGCUUCUUAAUCACUGCACCUACACUCAGAGACAAAAGGGAGUAUAUGGAAUACAUUGCUAAGACGUUGAAUCGUGGGAGUAUUUCUUGGUCCAUUGGACUUAGAGCAUUUUACUUGUCAUUUCCACUCUUCCUCUGGAUUUAUGGGCCCAUACCCAUGUUUGCUUGUUGCUGUUUGACAUCACUUAUUCUGUACUUCUUGGAUACAACAGCUAAAAUCACGCGGGAUCUUCAUAGUAACUCUUUCAAGAAGGAGAGGGGAACUCAGGAUGUAGAGUCUGCGGCGGAACCUGAUUAUUUUCCUUUACCUGACAACAAUUAGUAUCAAAACUCAGUUUUUGCAGAUAACUUUAAUAGUUGACAGAGGAAACGGAGCCUCUUUAUCUUUAUUUGUUUUGAAAAAAAAAGACAAGUUUUUGUGUGUGGAAGUGGGGUGUAAAAGACAAAGGUAGGUAAGAGUGAAAGGAAAGGGAACUAAUUUGAAUUUCAAUAAUAUCCCAAGAUUACAAUUUUGAAGUGGAGAGGCGUUAUUGGUUAUGUUAUGAGGUAGCAGUGAAUGGUGAAAGGUAAAGUUUGAAGAUUGAAGAAUUGAAGAAGCAGCAUGCAAGAACAGGAUUUGGACUACAUAGUGGUGCCUGUGGGUUUGUUGGUGUUGGGAAUAUAUCACUUUUGGCUUCUCUACACUAUAAUCCACCACCCUUCUCGCACUGUCAUUGGCUUGAAUGCUCAGUCUCGUUACCAAUGGGUUCUCACCAUCAUGGCUGAUCCCUUGAAAAAUGGGGUUUUGGCAGUUCAAACAAUCCGCAACAAUAUCAUGGCAUCUACUCUUCUUGCCACAACAGCAAUCACGCUUAGUUCACUCAUUGGCGUUUUUGCAACCAAUGACUCAGACACCAAAUUAGUUUAUGGCAAUAAAACGUCCCUUAAUUCUUCCAUCAAACGCCUCUCUAUCUCUUUAUGCUUCCUUGUUGCAUUUCUAUGCAAUGUGCAGUCUAUUAGACACUAUGCUCAUGUGAGCUUCUUAAUCACUACACAUGCACUGAAAGGCAAAAAGGAUUUUAUUGAAUAUGUUGCAAAAGCCUUGAACCGUGGUAGUUAUUCUUGGUCUCUUGGGUUGCGGGCUUUCUACUUGUCAUUUCCUCUUGUCCUAUGGAUUUAUGGGCCCAUACCCAUGUUUGCUUGUUGCUGCUUGACAUCAUUUAUUUUGUAUUUCUUGGAUACAACCACUCAAAUCACACGUGAUCUUCACACCAAGUCAUUUAAGGAGAGGGAAACCGAGGACAUGGAAGCAGCAUAGGUACAUCAUUGUAACUGUUCUUGUCUUCUUGAACUUUAUAUAACUAUUAUCUUCUAGCUUGUAGUAAAGUUCAAUUAUAGAUUUACUAUAAUUAUCUCUGUGAUGAUGCUGUUAUUGCCUUAUUGGUGAAUUAUUGUAUAAUAUUUAUUAAAUAGUAUGUGUAGUAUCAUGAGGUGUUCUUUUUCCUGUUUUUGAAGCGUAAUUUCUUUUUGGCGCUGGGAGAGUUUGUUAAUUCUGAACCUUAUGCUUAAUUUGUGAAUAAAAAAUACGAGCUUUAUUAGUGC